rnacentral:rRNA from 1 species
GAUGAACGCUGGCGGCGUGCCUAAUACAUGCAAGUCGAGCGAACAGACGAGGAACUCGCUCCUCUGACGUUAGCGGCGGACGGGUGAGUAACACGUGGAUAACCUACCUAUAAGACAGGGAUAACUACGGGAAACCGGAGCUAAUACCGGAUAAUAUAUUGAACCGCAUGGUUCAAUAGUGAAAGACGGUUUUGCUGUCACUUAUAGAUUGAUCCGCGCCGCAUUAGCUAGUUGGUAAGGUAACGGCUUACCAAGGCGACGAUGCGUAGCCGACCUGAGAGGGUGACCGGCCACACUGGAACUGAGACACGGUCCAGACUCCUACGGGAGGCAGCAGUGGGGAAUCUUCCACAAUGGGCGAAAGCCUGACGCAGCAACGCCGCGUGAGUGAAGAAGGUCUUCGGAUCGUAAAACUCUGUUGUUAGGGAAGAACAAAUGUGUAAGUAAAUAUGCACGUCUUGACGGUACCUAAUCAGAAAGCCACGGCUAACUACGUG